GCUGGGAUAGCUCUGUCAGUAGAGCAUGAGGCUCUUAAUCUCAGGGCUGUGGGUUCAAGCCCCUCAUUGGGCA
rnacentral:tRNA from 1 species